CAAAAUUGAGUAGAAAUUAUAGAGAGUUCUCAUAAAUCCCCUUCUCCUCACACAUAUACAGUCUGCCCCACUAUCAGCAUCCCCCGCCAGGGUGGGGCUUUUUUUUUUACCAUCGAUGAACCUACAUUGACACAUCGUUAUCACCCAGAGUCCACAGUUUACAUUAUAGUUGCAAAGUACAGUAAUGUAAUGUAUACUAUACAUUCUAUGGGUUUGACAAAUGUAUAAUGACAUGUCUUUAUCAUUGUAGUAUCAUACAAAAUAGUUUCACUGCCCUAAAAACCUCUGUGCACCAUUUCUUUAUCCCUCCCUCACCCAACCCCUGGCAACCAUUGAUAUUUUUGCUGUCUCCAUAGUUUUGCCUUUUACAGAAUGUCAUACAGUCAGACUCAUAGAGUAUUCAGCCUUUCAGAUUGGCUUCUUUCACUUAGUAAUAUGCAUUUAAGGUUCCUCCAUGUCUUCUCAUGUCUGGGUAGCUGAUUUCUUUUCAGUGCUAAUAACAUUCACUGUCCGUACAUACCAGUUUAUUUAUGCGUUCACCUACUGCAGGGCAUCUUGGUUGCUUCCAAGUUUUGGCAAGUAGGAAUAAAGCUGCCAUAAACAUUGUGUGCGGGUUUUUGUGUGGACAUGUUUUCAAUUCAUUUGGGUCAAUACCAAGGAGAAAGUUUGCUGGAUUACAUGAUAAGAGUACAUUUAGUUUUGUAAGAAACUGCCAAACUGUCUUCCAAAGUGGCUGUACCAUUUUGCUUUUCCACCAGCAGCAAAUGAGAGCUCCUAUUGAUCCAGGAUAGUUUGUUUUUACAGAAAUAAAAUAAUUCUAUGCACAUUACUCCACACCUUCCCUUUUUGUCUUAACACAAAGCACAGACAUCUCAUUAGUUAGUGAUAAAGAUCAAAUUCCCUUGUUUUAAUAUGUGUGAAUAUGUAUAUGUGUGCGUAUAUAUAUAUAUGUAUGUAUAAUUUUAUAUAGCUAGGAUAGUAUACGUGCUAUUUUUUUCAAAUCCCGACUCUUCCAUUUUGCCAUGAGCAUUUUAAAACCUCAAUGCCUCAGCUUUCUCACCUGUAAAAUAAAGAUAAUUUAGCGAGUUUACGGAGUUAAGAUAUAUAGUGUGUUUAUAACUGUACUAGGCAUACUAAACACUAGUAAAUGUUAUAAUUAUAGGGAAAAAUUGUUAAAGAUGUCAGAAUGGACCAAAGAGAUUUCUGAGUGUGCCAUAUAGCAGGCGCUUCCAGGUUAUAGCAACCUUUCAUUGUUACGGAGCUAUUUUACAACUCUGUAAGUUGCAGAAAAUGGAGAAUCAUAUAAAUUAUUCUUGCCCAUGAAAACGCAAUUUCAUUGUGUCCCGCGGAAUAUAAUCGAUUACUGCCUCAUGUUUUACACCUAUUUAUAAAUUCAUUCCAACAUUCCUUAUUUGCCUACAUAAUGUGUGGUUCUGUGAAUUUCCCUUUGUGUCAACUGUAACAUCUUACUGGUUCUCCCAUCUUUGACACAUGUUCAUUUUAUAUUUGUAUGAGAGUCAUGAUUCCAUAUCUUUUUAAAGUAUCCUUCAACACUUAAUUAUAGUAUUUUUUCAAGAAAACGGUUGUGAGUCAAAAAUAUAUUCUCACACAUGCAAGGGCGCAGAUAUAUACAUAGAACAUAGAACACAUACCUUCAUUGUUAAAAGUGCUUGAAGAAAUUGGCACAUUGAAGCACACAUCUACAUUAAGAACUCUAGAACAGCAAAGAAAUGAAGUAAAACACUGAAUUCUUUAAAUAUAAAUCAUAUAAAUAAUUAUGGCUAGGGGCUGGCCCCGUGGCACAGCGGUUAAGUGCACACGUUCCCCUUUGGCGGCUUGCGGUUCGCCGGUUCGGAUCCCGGGUAUGGACAUGACACCACUUGGCAAGCCAUGCUGUGGCAGGCGUCCCACAUACAAAGUAGAGGAAGAUGGGUAGGGAUGUUAGCUCAGGGCCAGUCUUCCUCAGCAAAAAGAGGAGGAUUGGCAGCAGAUGUUAGCUCGGAGGUAAUCUGCCUCAAAAAAAUAAGUAAAUAAAUAAUAAUGGCUAGAGGAUGCAAGGAAAAAAGGAUGUUUUGAAAAUAACAUAUACUAUUUUUCAAAUAAAUUUAACUACAAUAAUCUGGAGAGGAUUCCAAGAAGACGGGAUACAGUAUACGACUCUGACAGCCUCCCAUGCCCAAUUCCCUUCUUAGGUAGAUGGGAAACCCUAUUCCAUAACUACCUUGGAACAUACAGAAGAAUUUCCCCUACCUGCCUGAAAAACUUUCCACAGAAAAGGUACAGUUGAGAGUCGGGUGGACUCUCUUUUCUCUUUAUACCUGCUUUGUUCCCCAUCAGGACUCCCAAGCUGAGAAUUUUCCCUUCCGGCAGCUUCUUUCUGCAGGUCUUGCCAAAAACAGACCUUCCGCCCGCAAUCAUCUGCUUCAACUAAGCGGAUCCAGCAAGGGCCAGUUAAUCUCUGAUCCGUGUAUGCGCAAAAAUAAUAAGUUUGAUUUGUCUCUUUUUGUAAGCAUAAGAACACUAAGAAACUGUAAGGAAUGUAUACUAUCUUGACCCAAAAUGCUUUGUCAGGAAGAGAAUCUGCAGAAAAUGUAUUUGUUUAAAACUUGCAAAACAAAUUAACGUGAUUCUGACUCAGCAAUGUCUGAGCACUUACAAACCCAUAAAUAAGCCACACCAUCCACAUCAAGAACAUUUCUUGAAUGAAAGGUAAGUGGCUAUGGGGCCGUUGGUGGGUAUCUUGACCAAUGAAGGAAUUAGUAUAAGAGUGACUUCGCAGCCCUGCUACGGGAAAGCAUGCUAAGAAACGACGAGGAAUUUACCUCAGGUAUACCCAUAUUUUCUACUUAACAAAGAAAAGCUACAGUAUACUUAAAUGCGUAAUUCCUGAAAUGAAUUAAUAAAUAUAAUUCUGCCUCAUACGGGUACAACUCUAAGAAACGUCAAGGAAUCCAUAUCAUUUCCACUCAGAAUGUUUGCUUCUUGGAAAGAAAGACAGGUCUUUCCCCAAAAAGGUAACCAGAUAUUAUUUCCCCAAAAUAUGCUAACCAAAUACUAAGUCUUCUAAAAAGUUCACAUCUCUCUAGACCACAUGGCCCAAAUUUUGUCUGAAAGGACCAGAUAGUAAAUACUUUUGGCUUUACAGACCAAAUGGUCUCUGUCACAACUAUUCACAGUUGUGCAAAAGACUGACGACAUGUCAACAAAUGGUCAUGGCUGCGUUCCAAGUAAAUUUAUUUACGAAAUCAAGCAGAGCCCCAGAUUUGGCCCUAGGGCCAUAGUUUGCUGACCCCCUGCUCUAGACCUUACCUCUAGAACUCACAGUUUACACAAAACAGUGUGACGAGGGGGUCAGUAAAUACUCCCCCCCACACCCCCACCGCACCCCGGUGUCCUUGUUUCCCAGAGCUCAGAGCUCCGUGCUCUCCCUAGAACUGUUUUCUAAAUAGCCCAACGGCCCCUCAGGCAAGGAGAAGAAAAUCUCUCCUUUGUCUUGCUUGUUAGUAUUCCAGAUUGUUCCUCAGAGUCAAUGAAGAAGAGAAGAUGCAGAGGACAUUUUCAGAGAAAUCUUCUGUAAUGUGUGACUUAAUCUCACUUCAAAGGGAUCCUCUUCUGGCUCAGAGAAGGGCAUUUUAACCCAAAGCACCACUUCUUCCUCACAGGAAAUUAAGUACCAGCGUGGCUUAGGCUGCCAUCUUGUGGCUAAUUGGAGGAAGGAAAGGGAAAAUCGUUGGACCCAGACACUGGAACAAGCUGGAAACGUGUGCUUCGUAACAGGCCUCUGUAACAUGUACCAGAUACUGGGGCUAUACAGGGAGUCAAAACUCAGUUCUCAUCCUCAAGGAGCUUACAAUCUGUAGGAGAGAAGAUAGAUAUUAAUCCAAAAAUUUGCAAAAAGAUAAGUAAAAUUACAACCAUGAAAAAAGGUCUGAAGGAGCUUUAUGUGGUGCUCUGAAAGUGAAUAAAACAGAUUUGACCUCGGGGGGAAGGUAGAGAAAGCGUCCCUGUGGAUGAGAUGAUUCAACGAAGGCCUGAAGCUGAGGAGGGACCUACCAGGUGAAAAAGCGAGGGAAGAUAAUUUCAGAGAAAGGGAACAGUGUCGUAAAAACUUGGCGGCGCGAGGGAAGCAAGGCAGAGUGUGGUAUGAGAUGAGGCCAGGGAGGCACAGAGGGGCCAGGUUGUGCAGGGCCUCAAAAACCGUGAAAAUGGGGGAGGUUUCUUUAUCCUAUAAGCAGAGCGAAACCAUAAAAUGGUUUCAAGACGUGACAAAAUCAGAUUUACAUUUCAAAAAGAGCACACUGUAUCAGUCACAGUCCAAUCAGGAGACAGAAACUACACAGCAAUUUGGGAAAGUUUAAUAUCAAGAAUUAUUAACUAUUUAACAGGAGAUUGGAGUAACGGGGGACUGGCCUACAAGAAAUCAAGAUAUAGGCCCAGCAGACAUAAGGAUCAGCCACUCCACCUUAUAUAGCAGAUAUAAGGAAGCGCCUCCUGCUCCCAGUGCUGAGCCCCAGACCUUGUUGGGGAGGAACCCACCAUCGCUCCCUGGAUAGCAGAGAAGUCACAGUGGGGGAACUUGCUGAAAAUCCCCCCUCUAGGGUGCAGGGGGGUGGGGGGGAAGCCAUUCAAAGGGAGGGAACUCUCUGGAGGUACUCCGCUCUGAAACCACCCAAAAUGGGAACCACGAGGAGCUUCUGGCACUGAGUGCUGCUGGCCAUGGACCCCUACAAGAGCUGGGCUCAGGAACCUGGUGCUGGAGAAGCCGGGCACUGGAAAGGCCGCGCGCCCGCUCUGCAGGAGCCUGUGGAGUAGCAUGGGCCUGACUAGGAACGAAACCUUCCCUCCUCCAGUGUCUCUCCAGUGCCCUCUACUGACAAAGUUUAGCAUCAUGCAGCUGGCAAAGCAAAAAUAUUUAAAGGACCCAGCAACGCACUAUGGAUUUGAAGCUGAGAGGCCAUAAAUUGAUAACCAGCACACAUUGGCCUCUAAGUGGAGAGCCUUCUAGAAGAGAACCAAGAGUGGACGCAAAUAGACCAGUUAGGAGGUACUUAAGUAGUCCAGGAGAGAGACGAGAAAGUGGUCAUAACCUAUAAGGGGCUAGACAACAUACACCAGCAAGUUCCCCAUGGGCUGUGGGAAGGACACCAAAUAGCAUGGUUUAUGUUCCUUUGCUCACCGGACUUGCAGAAGAGCUGCCUCAGAAGGCGUGGCUAAAAGAGCAAGGAGGGUCCGCUGUCAGGGUCUUGGUCUUAAGGCAGCACCAGCUGUACUGAGUCAAUUCUUUGUACACAGUAAGGCACAGGAGGAGCACUGCUCCCAAGAGACAGACUUAACAAACACAUGAGUGCAGUGCAAUCAAAGCCACACCCAAUGCAUGCAAAUACUACCGCAGCCAGGCUUACAAGAGCAGGCUUUUGGGUCCAAAAAUUUACCAAAGCAUGACUUCUGACAAACCAUCACUCCUAUUUUUAAAAAGCUUUUAAACAAAUGGCCUUAAAAAAAACCACAGCAGCAAGCCUGGACUUCUGGUGCUUCAUACAGGCCUUCAGUUUACCUGCUGUCUCAAAACCAUCAGCGGGGCAAGGUCCAGGUGAGAGGGCUCAAGUGCCGCAGCUUGUCUGUAAGGGGUCUCCCCUCAUUUCUCCAAAACAUUAACACUGCCAGGUGGGAGAACCUGAGUACUAACUGAGAAGCUGAGGUUGAAGUAAAUUUGCCUACAACUAAAAUUUACCACUCAAACACAAAAACGAACAAGAGUUUAUCAACGGCUCCUUCUUGGGCGGUGAGCCUGAGGAUGGGGAGAGGGGUGGGGCAGGUGACUAUUGCUUUUUUAAUAAACUCUUCUGUGUGGUUUGAUAUUUUUUUAAUCAGGCUUGAAACGAAGGUGCAAACGAGCUUUCAAAUGGAUAAGGGAAAGCUGUUACAUCAUGAUGACACUCAACUAGAAUUUUAAUUACUCAAAGAUUACCCUUGGGUCUGAAAACGACUUGAGGACUUUUUAUUAUCUGAGAUGACUAAAGAAGUUACAGGAUCUGCCUGAGAUAGUCAAUAGGGAAGGACACAGUUCCCCUCUGCUGGCACUCCUUUGAAUUCAGCUCUCUCAAUAUAAUGGCACCCACAGGAAGCACACUGAGAAAGAACUGCUUAGAACUGAGCUCUGCCCGUGGGUGGAACCAGGAUUUGGACAAGUCUGAAUCUAGCGGUAGCCUCAGUUUCUGCGAGAGUUGAGCAAGCUCUUCUCUUCCAUGAAAGGUUUGCUUGCUCCUGCAAGUUGAUUUGCACAAUGCUGCAGCAUCAAACCAGAACUCUUCCUCUUCGGGAGGCAUGAAUCAAUAUUUCAAAAUGAGUAGCGAACCAGACCAUCCUGGUGCAUUUGCAAAGGAGGAUAUGGCUUAAAACUCCUUGAAUCCAUCAUCCUGCCUAUAACGAAGACGUGAAAGGCUAAGCGUAGAGAGCCCUGAUGAGCCUCCACCGAAGGCAGUGGGUGGGUGUCUGAGGCCUGCCUCUAGCUUCAAGCUUAGGGAAGGGGAUCUGCGCAGGAUCCCUCAGAGAGCUUGCAGUUCAGGAGUAGCUGCGAAUUGUCCUCUGACUCCCGCCUGGGAAACCCGGAGAACAGUGGCGCCUUCCAGGUGUGGCAAGUUCGCAGGGCUGAUUCUUUCUGUGGAGCAUUUUCAGAGGUUCCUCAUUCAAUGCCUCUCCUCCAGCAAGCCCCUAACAACACCCCCUCAACUUCUGCAUCUUAACUGCACAGCCCUAACCCCCUCUGCAGAGGGCUCCUCGCCUCUGGGAGAAGACCUUCUUAAGGAGAGUUCUUUUGCAAGUGACCACCACACCAGCUCCUAUCACAGACCCACUUGGCCCAAAGAAAGCUCACUCAUCAUUACCCUUCUGUCAUUUUAUCCACAACUUGUUCCUAAAUCUAAUUCGACCUGCGGAAAG
rnacentral:lncRNA from 1 species